UACGUAGGGGGCAAGCGUUGUCCGGAUUUAUUGGGCGUAAAGAGCUCGUAGGCGGUUUCGUAAGUCGGAUGUGAAAACUCCAGGCUCAACCUGGGAACUGCAUCUGUGACUGCAUCGCUGGAGUACGGUAGAGGGGGAUGGAAUUCCGCGUGUAGCAGUGAAAUGCGUAGAUAUGCGGAGGAACACCGAUGGCGAAGGCGAUCCCCUGGACCUGUACUGACGCUCAUGCACGAAAGCGUGGGGAGCAAACAGG
rnacentral:rRNA from 1 species